rnacentral:rRNA from 1 species
AUUGAACGCUGGCGGCAGGCUUAACACAUGCAAGUCGAGCGGGGUGAUGGUGCUUGCACUAUCACUUAGCGGCGGACGGGUGAGUAAUGCAUAGGAAUCUGCCUAUUAGUGGGGGACAACAUCUCGAAAGGGAUGCUAAUACCGCAUACGUCCUACGGGAGAAAGCAGGGGAUCACUUGUGACCUUGCGCUAAUAGAUGAGCCUAGGUCGGAUUAGCUAGUUGGUGGGGUAGAGGCCUACCAAGGCGACGAUCUGUAGCGGGUCUGAGAGGAUGAUCCGCCACACUGGGACUGAGACACGGCCCAGGCUCCUACGGGAGGCAGCAGUGGGGAAUAUUGGACAAUGGGGGGAACCCUGAUCCAGCCAUGCCGCGUGUGUGAAGAAGGCCUUAUGGUUGUAAAGCACUUUAAGCGAGGAGGAGGCUACUGAGACUAAUACUCUUGGAUAGUGGACGUUACCCGCAGAAUAAGCACCGGCUAACUCUGUGCCAGCCGCCGCAGUAA